CCUGUGCUCUGUAACUGCUCAUAGCCGAUAGCAACCAGGUAACCAAUCAACCAGCUGUACUUGUGUAUACUGACCCUAUAAGAGUAAAGCUCACCCUGAGCUCAGGGCCCCAGAAUUUCAGAGCAUUAGCUCAUCUGGGACCUCCAGCUCAGUAAACCUGAGUUCUCUUACCCUCCAAGUGUGGUGCUUGGGUUCUCAACAGUCCAACUCCUGCAGUAUUUCUGGAGGCCUCAGUGAGAUUCCAACCACACCGGCCCCUUGAGCUGCCAGACUGGUGGCUUAGCCAGGCCAGAGCAGAGGAACUCUGAGACGACCAAGGCGACACACCACCUGACGGUUUUCUGGGUUCUCUUUGAGACUGGUGUUCUGACUUUCCAGACAGCUGAACCCUGACCAGACUCAUUGGAGGGGCAGACCAACUAGCCAGGCACCUGAAUCCUGCCCAAGAUCUUCAGCCCUGCUCCGGUCACUCCAGGGCUGGCUGGUCCAUGCACGGCAGAAGCUUGAGGAAUUCAACGAGGGACAUCUGAGAGUCAGGGUUAUGAUGGCACCCUGCCAAGUUCUUCUUUCCAUAUACAGAAGAUCCUUAAAAGUACUGGAGAAGCAAAAGUCAGAGAAGAGAAAAAAAAUACAGCAAGAGGUGGUGAAGGUAUUGGAAACAAAUGCAAAAUCCAAGAAAUGUAAUCCAGUAGAAGCAGGGCUUUACAAAUUUAAAGCAUAGAAACUGGAUUCUGGCAUUCUUUUCAGUGGGUGCAGUUUCCCUAGGAAACUGCCAGAGAAGACACCCACCAUGCCUAUUGGCUUUGAUUUUGAAAUGGAGAAAAGAAUCAAUCCCCAAGAAGCAAAGAGGGUGUUGGAGGACAAACAAUUUAAAUUUAAGCGAAAACUUGCCCUAUGGUAUCUUGAUAGGUGUUGUGGGUGUUCCUGAUAAGAAAGAAAUUCCACUCACUGUCCCCAGGACUCCUGCUUUUGUUCAGAAAAAGAGAACCCCCAAACCCACCCAAGACGAUGAGGAUGAGAAGCAGCCAGUAGUGAUAAGAGCUCAACAAUUGUCCCAUUAAGCCCUUAAAAGUACCUUUUAAGCCCCAAAUCUCAGUGAGGAGAACUGUAGAAAUACACUCUUCUUCUUUUGAUUCAAAAAAGUCACUUACAGAAAGAGAAGAAAAUAAAACACCUGCAGAAAGGGAAGGUGCCCAAGUUCUAGGAGCUUCCUUUGCCUCAUUUUACCACCAUUAACCUGCAGCAGAAGAAGGUGAAGAACACAACUCAGGUUGAGCCUUCUGCUUGGAGUCUGACAAAAGAGGAGCCUGAAUGCACAGACUUGGGUUCUCUCUGUGCCCUGGUGACAAAGAAGGCCCCUCCUGGUGUGAUGAAAAGAGCAGCUCUGGUUCCCAGAUGGUGUCUGCAGCCAACUUUAGCAGUGGAGUUGACUGGAGCACUUGGAUGGUACCCACUUAGUCAAGGGCUGCUCACUUACAGUAAUUUGUGUUGCUUGCAUCCUUCUCCUCCUUUAUAUAAGCCAGAAUAUAUAGUUGAUUUAGUUUGUAAUUUAUUCACUUAAAGUGCAAUUUUUACUGCUUUUAUCCUUCACUUUUUAUAGUUAAAUUUAAAAAUAAAGAGACCUGAUUGAA